rnacentral:lncRNA from 1 species
CUCCCUCAGCCCUCAGAGGGAAGUUCCGAGGCACGUUCCCCACGGCCCCCAGGAGCCUGAGCCCAGCUGCCCAUGGCCGUCACCCUUCCACUGGCUUUCCUCCCCAGAUGUCUCACACCCUUCCCUCACUGGGCCUCCUGGGGUCCCUGGUCCCCAGGUCCUCAUCUCAGGGCCUAGGGGGGUCCCAGCAGUAAGUGCUAAAUAACCCACUGCAGGAAAUAUGACUGCUUCUCUCUGGGAGAAAGGAGAUGGAGGCAGGUCUCCUGCAAACUGUGGGUGCAACGUUGCCUUUAGAAGGUCAAAUCCGUGCAAAGCGCCUGCAGUGGGGAAAGCAGUGGAUGCACCCACCCCCCGGGGAGGCAGAAGAGGGAGAAUGUGAGGGAUGAGCUCUUGAAGGUAGGUGGGUGGGCUAUGGGGGU